rnacentral:lncRNA from 1 species
CGCUCUAUCUGUCCUCUCUGUCGGGUUCCAUGUUAUUGAUAUCUGUCGCGUCUUUCUGGUCCAGGUUAAGUAUAUCUGUCUCUCUGUCUGGUCAGUUUAUUAUAUUCUCCGCUCUGUCUGGUCAGUUUAUUAUCUGUCUCUCUGUCCGGUCAGUUUAUUAUAUCUCUCUCUCGCUCUGUCUGGUCAGUUUAUUAUAUCUCUCUCUCUCUCUGUCUGGUCAUUUUUAUGAUAUCGCUCGCUCUCUCUGUCUGGUCGUUUUAGUAUGAUCUCCUCUCUCUCCUGUCUGGUCAGUUUAUUAUAUUCCUCUCCAUAUGGUCCUCUCUCUCUGUCUUCAGUUUAUAUAUCUCUCUCUCUCUGUCUGGUCAGUUUUAUUAUGUCUCUCUCUCUCUCUGUCCUGGUCAUUUAGUAUGUCUCUCCUCUCUCUCUGUCUGGUCCAGUUAUUAUAUGUCUCACUCGCUCGCUCUCUGUCUGGUCAGUUUUAGUAUAUUUCUCGCUCGUCUCUGGUCUGGUCAGUUUAUUAUAUGUCUCCUCUCAUCUUGUCUGGGUCAGUUUAUUAUAUGUCUCUCUCUCUCUGUCUGGUCAGUAUUAUUAUAUGUCUCUCUCUUCUGUCUGGUCAGUUUAUUAUGUCUCUCUCUCUCUCUGUCGGUCAGUUUUUUAUUAUAUGUCCUCUCUCUGUCCUGGUCAGUUGUAUUAAUAUGUCUUCUCUCUCUGUCUGGUCAGUGUAUUAUAUGUGCUCUUCUCUCGCUGUCCCUGGUUCAGUUAAUUUAUGGCUCGUCUCUCUCUGUCUGGUCAGUUUAUUAUAUCUCUCGUCUCCGUCUCUGGCUAGUCAUUUAUUAAUAUCUCUCUCUCUCUCUGUCUAGUCAGAUUUAAUUAUAUCGCUCUCUCUCUCUCUGUCUGGUCAUUUAUUAUAUCGCUCUCUCUCUCUCUGGUCUGGUCCAGUUUUAUUAAUAUCUCGCUCGCUCUCUGUCU